rnacentral:rRNA from 1 species
GGAUUCGNAUGGGCGAAGCCUGACGCAGCAACGCCGCGUGGAGGAUGAAGGCCUUCGGGUCGUAAACUCCUGUCAGCGGGGACGAAAGCCGAAAGGUUUGACUGUACCCGCUGAGGAAGCCACGGCUAACUCCGUGCCAGCAGCCGCGGUAAUACGGAGGUGGCAAGCGUUGUUCGGAAUUACUGGGCGUAAAGGGCGCGUAGGCGGCAUGGCAAGUCAGAUGUGAAAGCCCCGGGCUCAACUCGGGAAUUGCAUCUGAAACUGCUUUGCUUGAGUCCUGGAGGGGGUAGUGGAAUUCCCAGUGUAGCGGUGAAAUGCGUAGAUAUUGGGAGGAACACCGGUGGCGAAGGCGGCUACCUGGACAGUGACUGACGCUGAGGCGCGAAAGCUAGGGGAGCAAACGGGAUUAGAUACCCCGGUAGUCCUAGCUGUAAACGAUGGGCACUUGGUGUUGGGGGUAUUGAGUCCCCCGGUGCCGGAGUUAACACGUUAAGUGCCCCGCCUGGGGAGUACGGUCGCAAGACUGAAACUCAAAGAAAUUGACGGA